AAGACUAUACUUUCAGGGAUCAUUUCUAUAGUAUGUUACUAAGAUGUAGCCAAAAAACUGGUGGCAGUGUGAUCAACUCCUAGAGU
rnacentral:snoRNA from 1 species